ACUCAGCAUAAAUAGAGCAACCGGUAGGAAAUAUUGUACUUCGACUUUUGGAAAGAGAUAGCUGUUUCAUAGAGCGUUGUCUCUGUCGUUGAGACCGACAAAACGUCACAUAGGUAUGAGUGAUAGAGACAACGCUCUACGACGCCGAAAUCCCUUUCUAAAGGUCGAUGUACAA